UUACCUGUCUUACACCAUCUAUCUAUCUAUCUAUCAUUCGAACCAUCUUUAACCAAAUAUCUAUCUAUCUACUGCCUACCUGCCUUUAUACUAUCAGUACUGCAUAGGUGGUUCUACAAUAGGUUUUCCACAAUAAGUGUUCAGUUCUACCAGAUUUCCACAGAGCGGGAAAAUUAGUGAUAAAGAAUAAAAUGUUGAUCUGUUAAAAUUAGAUAAAUCUCAAGUGAGUUUGAAUAAGUUAAGUGCUUGAAUUGAGUGAGAAUAAGUCAUGAAUAAGUGAAUAUGUGCUUACUGUAUACAAUAUUUACCUAAACAGAAGCAAUAAUGAAUAUUUUAAAACAAAACAGGAAGCAGCUUAAACAGUAGGUGACAUGUUUUUAAACCCAUGGUAUCUGCAACCUGGGGGAGAAGGGGCUCAACCCUCGAAGGCCCCCUCCCCACCCUCCAGUGAGGAGAGGGAAGGAAGCUACUCCCCCUCCCCCGCCCCUAGCCUAAUGAGCUGUGGAAGCCAUGGUAGCGGGGAGGCGGGGUUAACAGGUGGGGGUGUAUCUAAGCAACAGCUCUCCAGUAUACAGGCGGCCUUGCGCCCUGGCUGGACUGUUCACGCGACAAAAGAGGGUCGCCUCUACUAUUGCAAGUAAG